rnacentral:lncRNA from 1 species
CUUGGCGCCCCGGCCUUCGGGCGGUUAUUUUUGUGUGCGGCUUUGCCCGCAGCCUAUUUUUGGCACACGGAGGCCCCUCGCAAAGUCUCGCGGCAUUCCGAGUCCGGCGGACGAAGUGGGCCAGCCCCACCCCCCAAGGCUAUAGCCCACCCGUUUUUGUGGCCUUUUUCCGCUGGACGAACUUGGCGCCCCGGCCUUCGGGCGGUUAUUUUUGUGUGCGGCUUUGCCCGUAGCCUAUUUCUGGCACACGGAGGCCCCUCGCAAAGUCUCACGGCAUUCCGAGUCCGGCGGAUGAAGUUGGCCAGCCCCACCCCCCAAGGCUAUAGCCCACCCGUUUUUGUGGCCUUUUUCCAAUGGACGAACUUGGCGCCCCGGCCUUCAGGCGGUUAUUUUUGGGCGCGGCUUUGUCCGUCGCCUAUUUUUGGCACACGGAGGCCCCUCGUAAAGUCUCGCGGCAUUCCGAGUCCGGCGGACGAAGUUGGCGAGCCCCACCCCCCAAGGCUAUAGCCCACCCGUUUUUGUGGCCUUUUUCCAAUGGACGAACUUGGCGCCCCUGCCUUCGGGCGGUUAUUUUUGGGCGCGGCUUUGCCCGCGGCCUAUUUUUGGCACACG